GAUGAACGCUGGCGGCGUGCCUAAUACAUGCAAGUCGAGCGAACGGACGAGAAGCUUGCUUCUCUGAUGUUAGCGGCGGACGGGUGAGUAACACGUGGAUAACCUACCUAUAAGACUGGGAUAACUUCGGGAAACCGGAGCUAAUACCGGAUAAUAUUUUGAACCGCAUGGUUCAAAAGUGAAUGACGGUCUUGCUGUCACUUAUAGCUGGAUCCGCGCUGCAUUAGCUAGUUGGUAAGGUAACGGCCUACCAAGGCAACGAUGCCUAGCCGACCUGAGAGGGUGAUCGGCCACACUAGAACUGAGACACGGUCCAGACUCCUACGGGAGGCAGCAGUAGGGAAUCUGCCGCAAUGGGCGAAAGCCUGACGGAGCAACGCCGCGUGAGUGAUGAAGGUCUUCGGAUCGUAAAACCCUGUUAUUAGGGAAGAACAUAUGUGGAAGUAACUGUGCACAUCUUGACGGUACCUAAUCAGAAAGCCCCGGCUAACUACGUG
rnacentral:rRNA from 1 species